UCAACAGCUGACCGUUCGCUCAGGUAUAUAUAAAAUUCGAACCGUUAACGGUAUAAACAUUCCGAAAAUAUUUCAAGCUACUUGGAACUAAAUUCCACGCAAAGAUGAAGCUGUCGGCAGUAGUGCUUCUUGUGACGUUGUUUUCCUGUUACGUCACCAGAACUGAUGGAGUGUCUCUACUGCGAGCUAGCAAUGGAGAGUGUAUCCAAGAUGGUGUUCGUUAUCCGGAUGGGGCGGAUAUCGAAGGGGACAAAUGUGACGGUUGUAAAUGUACUUCCGGUACAAUCACGUGUACGUACGUCAUGUGUCCUAGCCUGAUGUGUGACGUAGUUGACCGGUACGUCCCACCAGGUCAAUGCUGCCAGGAGUGCCUGUAAUUGUGGAACCAAUAUCGGAGUGCAUUAUAUCCGGAUGCUAUUUAAUCCGCAAAUUUUAAUAAUAAAUACGA